rnacentral:rRNA from 1 species
UCUGCNGGAACUUAACUGACGCUAAUGCGUGAAAGCGUGGGGAGCAAACAGGAUUAGAUACCCUGGUAGUNCACGCCCUAAACGAUGUAUACCGGUUGUUGCUGUGCUAGUCACGGCAGUAAUCCACCUAACGGAUUAAGUAUACCGCCUGGGGAGUACGGUCGCAAGAUUAAAACUCAAAGGAAUAGACGGGGACCCGCACAAGCGGUGGAGCAUGUGGUUUAAUUCGAAGAUACGCGAAGAACCUUACCCGGACUUGAUAUCUAACAAAUCAUCCAGAGAUGGAAGAGUGUCUGCUUGCAGAAAUGUUAAGACAGGUGCUGCACGGCUGUCGUCAGCUCGUGUCGUGAGAUGUNNNNNNAAGUCCCGCAACGAGCGCAACCCACGUCAUUAGUUGCUAACGGUUCGGCCGAGCACUCUAAUGAGACUGCCUUCGUAAGGAGGAGGAAGGUGUGGACGACGUCAAGUCAUCAUGGCCCUUAUGUCCGGGGCGACACACGUGCUACAAUGGCAUAUACAAUAAGACGCAAUAUCGUAAGAUGGAGCAAAUCUAAAAAAUAUGUCCCAGUUCGGAUUGGAGUCUGCAACUCGACUCCAUGAAGCCGGAAUCGCUAGUAAUCGUAGAUCAGCCAUGCUACGGUGAAUACGUUCCCGGNU